rnacentral:rRNA from 1 species
ACGGCUCAGUAACACGUGGACAACCUACCCUGAGGUCGGGGAUAAACCCGGGAAACUGGGUAUAAUACCCGAUAGAUCUAGAUUGCUGGAAUGCUUUUAGGUCUAAAGUUCCGACGCCUCAGGAUGGGUCUGCGGCCUAUCAGGGUAGUAGUGGGUGUAAAGUACCUACUAGCCUACGACGGGUACGGGUUGUGAGAGCAAGAGCCCGGAGAUGGAUUCUGAGACACGAAUCCAGGCCCUACGGGGUGCAGCAGGCGCGAAACCUUUACAAUGCUGGCAACAGCGAUAAGGGGACCUCGAGUGCUACGAUACAAUCGUGGCUGUCUAGUUGCCUAAAAAGCAAUUGAUAGCAAGGGCCGGGCAAGACCGGUGCCAGCCGCCGCGGUAACACCGGCGGCUCGAGUGGUAACCGCUAUUAUUGGGUCUAAAGGGUCUGUAGCCGGCUUAGUUAGUCUCUUGAGAAAUCUGGCCGCUCAACGGUCAGGCGUUCAGGGGAUACUGCUAAAGCUCGAGACCGGGAGAGGUGAGAGGUACUUCAGGGGUAGGGGUGAAAUCUUGUAAUCCUUGAAGGACCACCAGUGGCGAAGGCGUCUCACCAGAACGGAUCUGACGGCAAGGGACGAAAGCUAGGGGCACGAACCGGAUUAGAUACCCGGGUAGUCCUAGCCGUAAACGAUACUCGCUAGGUGUCGGCCACGGUGCGACCGUGGUCGGUGCCGUAGGGAAGCCGUGAAGCGAGCCACCUGGGAAGUACGGCCGCAAGGCUGAAACUUAAAGGAAUUGGCGGGGGAGCAC